UGAGAAGUGGACAAGCCAUCUGAAUG
rnacentral:piRNA from 1 species